GAUGAACGCUGGCGGCGUGCUUAACACAUGCAAGUCGAACGGAAAGGCCCAAGCUUGCUUGGGUACUCGAGUGGCGAACGGGUGAGUAACACGUGGGUGAUCUGCCCUGCACUUCGGGAUAAGCCGGGGAAACUGGGUCUAAUACCGGAUAGGACCACAUUUUGGAUGGUGUGGUGGAAAGUUUUUCGGUGUGGGAUGAGCUCGCGGCCUAUCAGCUUGUUGGUGGGGUAAUGGCCUACCAAGGCGUCGACGGGUAGCCGGCCUGAGAGGGUGUACGGCCACAUUGGGACUGAGAUACGGCCCAGACUCCUACGGGAGGCAGCAGUGGGGAAUAUUGCACAAUGGGCGCAAGCCUGAUGCAGCGACGCCGCGUGGGGGAUGACGGCCUUCGGGUUGUAAACUCCUUUCGCUAGGGACGAAGCGUUUUUGUGACGGUACCUGGAGAAGAAGCACCGGCUAACUACGUG
rnacentral:rRNA from 1 species